UGUUACUGGAGAUUUAACGUAGCUCAGAUGCCAAUAAAUUUUUCAAGAGAAUAUUUAAUAAAAUUGUUUUAAAUUUUAUUAAAUGCAGAACUGAAUUUAAGUAGAAAAGAGAGUCAUAACCUAACUGGAAAAAUAAUUCCCCUAUUCUAGUAAACUCCUAAAAGAUAAAAUAAAAUAUUCCUAAAAAUCUCAAUUAAUUAUUCUAAGACUUAUCUACCUAAAUAACUUAA
rnacentral:lncRNA from 1 species